ensembl:snRNA U6 U6 spliceosomal RNA
GCAUUUCGGCAACACAUGUACUAAAAUUGAACUACAGGAAGAUUAGCAUGGCCCUCGUGCAAAGAUAAUAGGCAAAUUCAUGAAGUAUUCCAUAUUUUU